AUUUCCCAGAGAUACAAAUGGUGUGGAGUGGAGGGCACAGCACCCCUGGGUAUUCAUUAUUCUGGGUGAUCACUUGGGAGUGGUCAAUUUGAAACCACCGUGGCAGUAAGAAAGAAACCAACGUGAUUUGAAUAGAAGGUGACGGCUCUUGAGCUUCUUUUUGCUGAAUGUCAUUAAACAUGGACGGACUGAGGUGAGGACAAAGUGAUUCUCCCUUCUGGAGGAUGCAGCAAAGUGCUGCCUGCCAUCUUGGAAGCACAGAGUAGCCUUCACCACACUCUAAUCCCAUCAGAGCCUUGAUCUUGGACUUGCCAGCCUUCAGAACAGUCUUGCCUCAUCACUGCCAUGACAGGGGGGUCCAAUGUGAGGAUUCUGGUGUCUAUGCCAAGCAUCUCUUUUCCAACGUAGAUCUGAUUUCUUAACAUAGCCAACAGCAAGUCAACAUCAGCUUUGCAGAGAAAAGCAGGUAUUAAACGAACAUAAAAUAUUAUUUGGUGGUUAUAAACAAAAUAUGUAAUUAUAAGUAUAAAGCUUUUUCUAAUGUUUAAGUCAAGAAGUUAUCCAUAAUUGUAAUGGUUGUUCCAUUGUUUGAAUAAGCAUAUAAAUUACAAGUUUGUGACUGUAUUAGUUAACAUUUACUGAGCAUUGACCACGUGCUACACAUUGUCUUAUCCACUUUAGGCAUAUGUUGUCUCAUUUAAUUCUCCAACAACUCCUUGGGUUAGGUGAUAUUUUUGUGCCCAUUUUAUAGAAAGUAGAGCUAAAGUUUAGAGACCUGCCUAAGUCAAGUAUUGCAUCAUGCAUACUUCCUCUCCUUGUGGGGCGUUUGUUUGAAUAUGAGACUCCUUAGUAACUUUGGAGUCUAAUGUCAAGGGUCAAAUUUCUGUCAUGAAAUCAUUUAUGCAUUGCAAGAUUGAACAAGAAGUAAAAGCUGAAGUAGGGUGUUUGAAACCUAUGCAAUGAAACGGUAAACUAAAAAAUAGUGAGAAUUAAUUAAUUAAUCACAGAAAGACAGUCACAGCUGCUUUGGAUCAUGCUGGAUUUAUUUAGCAGAAGUAGCAUAAUUCUUUAGAACAGAAAGCAAAAGCAGAGACAUUGAUUGAAACUGCAGGGGGAAUUUUGGUAAGCAGAAUAUAAUUGCUCAUUAUUUUUAUUUGUAUCUUCCCAUUUCCUUGUUUCCCUUUCCCUUUGU
rnacentral:lncRNA from 1 species